UCCACUGAUAAAUACGGCCAUGUGCAUGAAUAACAGACAUAGUGGCGAAUAGACAACGAUGAAGGCUUCAAGUACAUGUAAGAGGAAGGAGUGAUUUGUUGUGAAAGAUCCUGGAAUGUUCAACUUUACCUGGAAACUAUUGGCAAAGAACUGACAGAAUUUACAGGAGAAGCCAGUAUCAUCUUGUCUGGCAAUUGGGAACUAUAUGUAAAGUGCAGAAACUUACGAACAACAUUAGAAGCCAAGAUCAACAAUACUUGGAACUACAUGUAUAAUCAAAGUACUGGCAGAAUCCAUAUGAGAGAACCCAAGAUCAUCUACACUUGGUGUCUAUAUGCAAAGUGUUGUCAGAAUCCACUUAAGAAGCCAAGAUCAACUAUAAUUUGGAACUAUAUGCUUUAGUGCUGUCAAAAUCCAAGAUCAAAAGGACCUACUUUACCUACCUGUCCCAAUGAUGAAUACAGAUUAUUGAGUCUUAUAAAAAACACUGAUGAAGAAUAUUGAUAUAAAAAUAAUGAAAAUAUAGAGCUGAUCAGCUAAUGAUUGUACAUGAUGUAUACAUGUCAACAAUUACUAGUAUAUUGAAAUUUACAAUGCUAAUAAAUGUUUUAUAAAUUUGAUCUCAUAGACAUUUUAGGAAUAAAAAUCAAAAAUGUUUCAAAAAAUGAA